CUGCGUUUUCUGUGUUCUUUGUGUGCUUCGCUGUGACAUCUUUGGAAUAUUCCUGCGUGUUGCUCGCUUUUUAUGGACUUGUUGCCUCGAAGAUCGCCAUGAUCGCCUCCGACUCAGCGACAUCAAGGAUUCAAAAUGAGCUGGGAGAGGCCCCAGCUGGAACGGUUCACAUAGGUUGAAGGAGUGCACAUUGAGAAGGUUAUCCUGGCACAGUUUACCAUGGCCUGCCAUGGUAGACCAGGAAAGUUUGCAAGGGCCUUGC
rnacentral:lncRNA from 1 species